GUGUGAAGAAGGCCUUCGGGUUGUAAAGCACUUUCAGUCGUGAGGAAGGCGGCGUCGUUAAUAGCGGCGUUGUUUGACGUUAGCGACAGAAGAAGCACCGGCUAACUCCGUGCCAGCAGCCGCGGUAAUACGGAGGGUGCGAGCGUUAAUCGGAAUUACUGGGCGUAAAGCGCAUGCAGGUGGUUUGUUAAGUCAGAUGUGAAAGCCCGGGGCUCAACCUCGGAAUUGCAUUUGAAACUGGCAGACUAGAGUACUGUAGAGGGGGGUAGAAUUUCAGGUGUAGCGGUGAAAUGCGUAGAGAUCUGAAGGAAUACCGGUGGCGAAGGCGGCCCCCUGGACAGAUACUGACACUCAGAUGCGAAAGCGUGGGGAGCAAACAGAGCUAACGCGUUAAGUAGACCGCCUGGGGAGUACGGUCGCAAGAUUAAAACUCAAAUGAAUUGACGGGGGCCCGCACAAGCGGUGGAGCAUGUGGUUUAAUUCGAUGCAACGCGAAGAACCUUACCUACUCUUGACAUCCAGAGAACUUUCCAGAGAUGGAUUGGUGCCUUCGGGAACUCUGAGACAGGUGCUGCAUGGCUGUCGUCAGCUCGUGUUGUGAAAUGUUGGGUUAAGUCCCGCAACGAGCGCAACCCUUAUCCUUGUUUGCCAGCACUUCGGGU
rnacentral:rRNA from 1 species